rnacentral:rRNA from 1 species
AUUGAACGCUGGCGGCAGGCCUAACACAUGCAAGUCGAGCGGAUGAAGGGUGCUUGCUCGUGGAUUCAGCGGCGGAGGGGCGAGUAAUGCAUAGGAACCUGCCUGGUAGCGGGGGAUAAGGUCCGGAAACGGGCGAACAUACCGCAUACGUGCAGACGGCGUACGUGGGGGAGCAUCGGAUCUUCCGACCUCAGACGAGUCUAGGACGGAUUAGCUAGUUGGUGGGGUAAAGGCCUACCAAGGCGACGAUCCGAAACUGGUCUGAGAGGAUGAGCAGUCACACUGGAACUUGGACACGGUCCCGACUCCUACGGGAGGCCGCCGUGGGGAAUUUUUGGCCAUGGGCGGAAGGCUGAUCCAGCCCUGCCGCGUGUGGUAAAGAAGUCUUCCGAGUUUUAAAGACUUUUUGUUGGGAGAGAGGGGAGUAAGGUUAUACCUUGCUGUUUUGACGUUUCCAACAAGAUUAGCCCCCGCUUACUUCGUG